rnacentral:rRNA from 1 species
UUUUGCGGUGUGGGAUGGGCCCGCGGCCUAUCAGCUUGUUGGUGGGGUGACGGCCUACCAAGGCGACGACGGGUAGCCGGCCUGAGAGGGUGUCCGGCCACUCUGGGACUGAGAUACGGCCCAGACUCCUACGGGAGGCAGCAGUGGGGAAUAUUGCACAAUGGGCGCAAGCCUGAUGCAGCGACGCCGCGUGGGGGAUGACGGCCUUCGGGUUGUAAACCUCUUUCAGCAGGGACGAAGCGCAAGUGACGGUACCUGCAGAAGAAGCACCGGCCAACUACGUGCCAGCAGCCGCGGUAAUACGUAGGGUGCGAGCGUUGUCCGGAAUUACUGGGCGUAAAGAGCUCGUAGGUGGUUUGUCGCGUUGUUCGUGAAAACCGGGGGCUUAACCCUCGGCGUGCGGGCGAUACGGGCAGACUGGAGUACUGCAGGGGAGACUGGAAUUCCUGGUGUAGCGGUGGAAUGCGCAGAUAUCAGGAGGAACACCGGUGGCGAAGGCGGGUCUCUGGGCAGUAACUGACGCUGAGGAGCGAAAGCGUGGGGAGCGAACAGGAUUAGAUACCCUGGUAGUCCACGCCGUAAACGGUGGGUACUAGGUGUGGGUUUCCUUCCUUGGAAUCCGUGCCGUAGCUAACGCAUUAAGUACCCCGCCUGGGGAGUACGGCCGCAAGGCUAAAACUCAAAGGAAUUGACGGGGGCCCGCACAAGCGGCGGAGCAUGUGGAUUAAUUCGAUGCAACGCGAAGAACCUUACCUGGGUUUGACAUGCACAGGACGCCGGCAGAGAUGUCGGUUCC